rnacentral:sRNA from 1 species
UACCCGUAUUAAACUAAUCGCUUAAGGA